AGAGUUUGAUCAUGGCUCAGGAUGAACGCUGACAGAAUGCUUAACACAUGCAAGUCUACUUGAUUCUACUUCGGUAGUUGAUGGUGGCGGACGGGUGAGUAACGCGUAAAGAAUCUGCCCUUUAGUUUGGGAUAACCUUUGGAAACGAAGGCUAAUACCGGAUAUUAUGGAGACGUCGCAUGACGACUCCAUGAAAGCUAUAUGCGCUAGAGGAGGACUUUGCGUCCCAUUAGUUAGUUGGUGAGGUAAUGGCUCACCAAGACCGCGAUGGGUAGCCGGCCUGAGAGGGUGAUCGGCCACAAGGGAACUGAGACACGGUCCUUACUCCUACGGGAGGCAGCAGUGGGGAAUAUUGGACAAUGGGCCACAAGCCUGAUCCAGCAAUUCUGUGUGCACGAUGAAGGUCUUCGGAUUGUAAAGUGCUUUCAGUAGGGAAGAAAAAAAUGACGGUACCUACAGAAGAAGCGACGGCUAAAUAUGUGCCAGCAGCCGCGGUAAUACAUAUGUCGCAAGCGUUAUCCGGAUUUAUUGGGCGUAAAGCGCGUCUAGGCGGUUUAUUAAGUCUGAUGUGAAAAUGCGGGGCUCAACUCCGUAUUGCGUU
rnacentral:rRNA from 1 species